UACGGAGGGUGCAAGGCGUUAAUCGGAAUUACUGGGCGUAAAGCGUGCGUAGGCGGUUCGUUAAGUCUGUUGUGAAAGCCCCGGGCUCAACCUGGGAAUGGCAAUGGAUACUGGCGAGCUAGAGUGUGUCAGAGGGAUGGUGGAAUUCCCGGUGUAGCGGUGAAAUGCGUAGAGAUCGGGAGGAACAUCAGUGGCGAAGGGCGGCCCAGUCUGGGACA
rnacentral:rRNA from 1 species